UACGUAGGGUGCGAGCGUUGUCCGGAAUUAUUGGGCGUAAAGAGCUCGUAGGCGGCCUGUUGCGUCCGCUGUGAAAGCCCGGGGCUUAACCCCGGGUCGGCAGUGGAUACGGGCAGGCUAGAGGUAGGUAGGGGAGAAUGGAAUUCCCGGUGUAGCGGUGAAAUGCGCAGAUAUCGGGAGGAACACCGGUGGCGAAGGCGGUUCUCUGGGCCUUACCUGACGCUGAGGAGCGAAAGCGUGGGGAGCGAACAGGG
rnacentral:rRNA from 1 species